CUGGGACAAGAAUUAUGUACACUUAGAACCAAAAUAGAAUCUGCGUAUAAUAAUAAAGAAUGACAAAUGGUGCUAAAUCAAAAAAGAAUCUAUGUAUCAUGAUAAGCGACUAAUGAUAAAACCAAUAACGUGCUUGUGCUACACUACGUGUUUAACAGUUUGAGCAGGAAUGUUUUACUCUUCCAAUCACCUUAUCAAUAACCUCGAUUUUUUGGAGGUCGAAUGUUUAGCCAUGGUAUUGUCAGUUUUAAUUGGCCUUGACAUUUUUAAAUGCCUCCGUGGCACUCUCUCACCCUCUCUUUAUUAAAGAGCAUGUAAUCAAUUAUUCUAGUGGCGUAAAAAAUACGUAUUCUAAGUUUAAAUAAUUUACUUAAAAAAACAAAACAUUAGUUAAACUCAGUUCUAUAUAAAUACAUCUAUCAUUGAAAAUAUAUUUAAAAUGCAGAAAAAUGAUAAACUGGGACAAGAAUUAUGUACACUUAAAACCAAAGUAGAAUCUGCGUAUAAUGAUAAGGAAAUACUAAUGGUACUAAAAACCAAAAUAGAAUCUGCGUAUCAUGAUAAGGAAAUACAAACAGUACUAAAACAUCCGAAUGACGGUCCUCGUUCGCACUGUCAUUUUUAAAUUAGGGAGGGGGGUUAACGUUUACUUCAAAAAUGAUCUAAAGGAUGUUCGCUCUCCUUGUUUUUGAAUUUUUGUCAGUUAUUUGAAAUUCUCUGGUUUUCUCUGUGUAUUGCCAUUACAAUUUUUUUGCCUGCUAACCAUAACUUUAUAAUUUCAUUGAACAUAGUUUAAAAAACCAUAUCUGAAAAUCAUGGUAUUUUUUCGAAGUUUUUGAAAAAAAAGGUAAUAAAUAUAAUAGUAUGAAAAAUCUAGAGAGAAUCAUUUCCAGCUAUAUUUUUAAUGGCUUACAUCUCUCAAUAAAGAACACGGACCUUCAUUUUUGCUGCUGCUUUUUUGAGUUUUUAUGUGUACAUGACGUACCACCAUUGAUUUCCCAUUAUUUGUCUUUGUGGAAUUUGCACUUUUCAAAAAAUCAGAAUGUUAAGUAAAGUUUGAUCCUCGUUGCAUAAAAGAAAAUACCAUCACUGGAAGCUAACAAAAUCAAAUGUUUCCUUUUUUUUUUUAACCUAAUAGCAACCUUUAUGAACCAUUUAAUCUCAAGUUUCCAAAAUAUUCUAAAGAAACAACAAAUAAAAAAAUAAUGGUGCUUUGAAUUACCCAAGAUAUAUUUGUACGACCCAGAAAUGUUUUACUGCAAUAAAAUUGUUCAUUACAAUUAUCUGCAACUGUCAAAUUCAAGGGAUAAGUUUUGUUUGACCUUUUUUCGUAUGCAACCGGAUGUAACGUACUAUGAUUUGGUGGUCUAAAACCUUAUAAACUAUCAAUUUAUAACAGUUUUUUUUAAGCUUGUUAUUUUGAAACAGAGUAGGGAACAUCCCUAAACUUCAAGCUACUACCUUUUCAAAUUCAGUUAUGUAACUUGGAGUCAAUGUUUCAAUGGCAUAAAUGGGAUGUUGUUGUUGUUGUUGUCUUUAAUUCAACGACAACUAGAAAUUUUUUCCUAAUGUAAAACCACCCAUUAACGUUUUGUAAAUUUAUACAAAACAUACGUAUUUUAUUGAAAUUAAUUGUAUAUAUCUUUCAUCAUUCGCAUAAUUAUACAUUGGCAAGAGGAAAUUAGGUACAAAGUUUCAUGGAAACUAUCAAAAACUAAUAUGUAUAUCAAAUCUAAAGAUAAUCUAUAAAAAUAUUUAUUUACAAAUAAG
rnacentral:lncRNA from 1 species